rnacentral:rRNA from 1 species
CGUAGGGCUAAUUCGUAUAAAGCUAUUGAGCCAGCCCAACCAGAAACUAAAGUUAUGUGCAUUAUAUGCAUCGCAAGCAAUCGACCCAGAUCAUUCAAGAAAGCUGCAUAA